GGUAACGGAAGUCGUUGCCGUUGGCCUCCACCUUGGCUUCCUCCUCCAGGAAGCGCUCGGGGUGGAACUCCUCGGGGUUCCUCCAGUGGGCGGGGUUGUUGGCGAGCCACCAGGCGUUGACGAGGAUCUUGCUCUCGGCGGGGAUGUCGUAGCCGCCGAGCUUGGCGUCGUGGAGGUUCAUGUGGGGGACGAGGAGAGGGAUGGCCAUGCGCAACCGGAGGGUCUCCUUGAUGACGGCCUGAAGGUAGGGCAGCUUCUGGAUGUCGGGUUCCGUGAUGGGGACGCCUCGGCCCAGCACAGAGUCGAGCUCGUGGCGGAGCUUCCGCUGGAUCUCCGGGUGGUUCACCAGCUCCGCCACCCCCCACUCGAUCGACC
rnacentral:lncRNA from 1 species